UUGUAUUUGAUUUUAUUGUGAUUGCUCCCCUCCUACCAUCUCAUUGAAUCUUCUCCUUUGUCUUUGGAUAUGGGGUAUGUUUUUUGGUGAGUUCCAGUGUCUCCCUGUCAAUGAUUGUUUAGCAGUCAGUUGUGAUUCUGGUGUUCUCACAAGAGGGAGUGAGCACAUCUUUUUAAAAAAAUUAAAAGUC